UACGUAGGGGGCAAGCGUUAAUCGGAAUUACUGGGCGUAAAGCGCGCGUAGGUGGUUUGUUAAGUUGGAUGUGAAAGCCCCGGGCUCAACCUGGGAACUGCAUUCAAAACUGACAAGCUAGAGUAUGGUAGAGGGUGGUGGAAUUUCCUGUGUAGCGGUGAAAUGCGUAGAUAUAGGAAGGAACACCCGUGGCGAAGGCGACCACCUGGACUGAUACUGACACUGAGGUGCGAAAGCGUGGGGAGCAAACAGG
rnacentral:rRNA from 1 species